rnacentral:lncRNA from 1 species
UACCCUAUUAAUUAGUUAUUUAUACGUUUUCCUAUGCAGACUUUUUAUUUAUUUAUUUCUUUUAUUAUUUUUUGAGCUAUUUGUUUUGCUGGAUUUUCUCGUCUUGCUUUCAGUUAAUUAGAAAUUGGGGAUUUUUUUUUUAUUUUUUUGGUAGAUGGAUUUUGAAUUGUCAGUGGUCUUGACUGGUAUGUUUGUGCUGUAUGAAACAGUAUGAUUAACUUUUGUGUUUGUGCUGUAUGAAACAGUAUGAUUUACAAUAAUUCACGCUUGAAUAUGUGGUUAUAAACAUUUAAAAAUUAAGAUUUAUGUUAUCCAUUUCAGCUUUUAUCAUAAUUUUUAUUUUAUUAUAAUUUAUGGUAUGUACCGACAGCAUAGUUUUUGUUGCUUAGACUGGCAGGGAAUAUAUAACAUGUCUAUUAUCCAGAACAAAAAGUUCGAAUUUUUUGAAGGUUUUUGGUUAGCUAGAGCUACAUACAUUGUCCCGGCUUUAGCCUUCACCAGCUACCCCUGUCUACUGCACCUCCAUUCUCAUGCCAACCUUGUGCCCACGCUGUUCUAACAAGAACUACGGGCCUUUCUUUAUCCACCAUAGGCUCAUUGCUCCUUACAAAACAUGGAACUUCUAUUGUCUUUGAGAAUACCAUUGAUUUGUAUAAAUCAACUUAUUUACUUAAUUAACUUGUAUUUCUACUGGUUUAAGAAAGGACUAAUCCUUCUAAGACUUAUAUCUUAGUCAUAAUAUAAUUGUGAAACAUAUUAAAACUUGAUAUGAUAAUCUUUAAGUUAAAUUAUAGCUCUGAACUAUGGCAUGAGUGUAAUAGUGACUGAUGCAAUGCCACUGAGUUUGUAUUAGUGGUGGGUUGCUUCGAAAAUAGUUAGGCUAAAGAAAGGGAUGGGAAGAAGAGUUCAUUGCAAAUUUUGUGAAGAAACAAAAGCAUUUGACUGUUGACAGCAAGGCUUUAAGGUCUGAAGUGAACUAUAAUGAUGUACAGAGAUAGAAAGAAGGGCUGUAUUUUGUAAUAGAGAGUGAAGUAUUUGGAGGUGAAGAUAAAGGUUUCAGAUGUGUUGCUGAGAUGUAGAUAUAAAAUAGGAUUAAGAAGAGACGUAGAAAAAGUAUGAGCUGAUGAGACGUAGAAAAAGUAUGAGCUGAUCUGAAACUGAGAUGAACGCAUCAUAUAUCUUCAUUCAUUUUCUCCAUGUGGUGCAGCGCUCGUGUAUGGUGUAUCAAAAUAUGAGACUUGGAGACCUAGAGUAUUUGUAGGUUAAGCGACCUUGGUCCAAGUUUCAGAACAUGAACAGGUCAAAUUCUAUUGUUCAUCUAUAGUGUUAACCUAAUUGAUUACCUGGAAACUAAGUGGCCAUUAUAAGACUGAUUUGUCACCAUCUGGACCACAUUUCAACUUAUAUGUAAUUACCAAAAUACUCCAUACUUAUUAUUAAAAGCACAAGUUAACACAGCAAGCUCUGUCAACACAUUAUUAACUACCCUUGACAAAUUUGUUUGGACCAGAAGGUUUUUUAAAUUGAUGUAGGAUGCCCUAUAGUUUUUGUCCUAGGCUUCCAAAGCGUUUGUCUUCUCUAGCUAUGCAGUGAUUUAUGAAUAACUAAUGAGCUGAACUUACACCAUCUGGGGUGUUUCUAGGCCAUGGAAUGGGAUGAUUUGAGCUCCCUAAAAGACAAGCUAUUUACUAUGUCGAGUCCCAAGGGAAUCGCACAUAAAGAUGUACCAACUUGGCAUAAUUAUCAAUUUAUGGUUUUUGGUUAUCAAAUGUUCUUCUCCCUUUCAUUUUUCUCCAUUAUGUGAUGGUGAUGGAGACUACCAAUUUUUUUAUCUGUAUUUGGAAACAUGGUUUGCUUGUUGACUGCCUUCUCAUCUUGUUUUUGGAGAGUUUUGGUAAUGAUAAUUUUUCGUUGGUGAAGGGGGAUGAGGUCACAUUGCAGAAGGCACUGCACGUGGUUCACAAAAAUACAAAUGAUUAUGUUGCUCUUCUCUUUUAUGCAUCAUGGUGUCCUUUCUCUGGGACAUUUAGGCCAAGCUUCUCCGCCUUGUCAUCCCUUUUUCCUUCUAUUCCUCAUUUUGCUAUUGAAGAAUCAGCUGUUAGGC